UCUAGACCUCUGGUGUUUGACGUUGUGUAUAGUGGGAGAGAACUGCUGAAGUUCAGGGAAGCGAACACGGAUAUUUACAGGGAUUGUUGGCAGUGGGUGAGAACAGCACCAUGUUAAGACCACUGGGAGAGAAGAGACUAUUAAAACGCUCCUGAGUGUCCUCAGUUUCAGCACAAGUUUCGUUUCACCGAGUAACUAAGGAUGGCCUGCUGAGUCAUGGCAGCAGUCACCAUGACUACCUUACCUUCAGC